rnacentral:rRNA from 1 species
UACGUAGGUGGCAAGCGUUGUCCGGAAUUAUUGGGCGUAAAGCGCGCGCAGGCGGUCCUUUAAGUCUGAUGUGAAAGCCCACGGCUCAACCGUGGAGGGUCAUUGGAAACUGGGGGACUUGAGUGCAGAAGAGGAGAGUGGAAUUCCACGUGUAGCGGUGAAAUGCGUAGAGAUGUGGAGGAACACCAGUGGCGAAGGCGACUCACUGGACCGGCAUUGACGCUGAGGUGCGAAAGCGUGGGAGCAAACAGG